rnacentral:rRNA from 1 species
UUGAUCUGUGAAUUGAACGCUGGCAGGAUGCUUUACACAUGCAAGUCGAACGGCAGCACGGACUUCGGUCUGGUGGCGGUGAACAGGUGAGUAAUGUAUCGGAACGUGCCUAGUAGCGGGGGAUAACUACGCCAAUGACCGCUAAUACCGCAUACGCUGAGAAAGCAGGGAAGGCCUUCGGGCCUCGCACUAUUAAACCGAUAUCGAUUAGUUGGUGGGGUAACGGCUCACCGGGCGUGACGAUCCGUAGCUGUGGUUGAGGAACGACCAUUACACUGGGACUGAGGCACGGCUGACUCCUGCAGGGAGGCAACGGUGGGGAAUUUUGGACGUGGAAACCUGAUCAGCCAUCCCGCGUGUGCGAUGAAGGCCUUCGGGUUGUAAAGCACUUUUGGCAGGAAAGAAACGGCACGGGAUGUGCCCCGGUAUGGCCGUUACCUGCAGAAUACGCGCAAGCUAACUGCAUUACUUUGGCAGCGCGGUAAUACGUAGGGUACAAGCGUUAAUCAAGUACUGGGCGUAAAAGCGUGCGCAGGCAGUUCGGAAAGAAAGAUGUAGAAAUCCCGGAAGCUUACUUUGGAACUGCAUUUUUAACUACCGAGCUAGAAUUGUGUCAGAGGGAGGUGGAAUUCACACCGAUAGCAGUGAAAUGCGUAAGUUGGAGAACACCGAUGGCGAAGGCGGCCUCCUGGGUUAACACUGACGCUCAUGCACGAAAGCGUGGGGAGCAAACGAGAUUAAGGUCCCUGGUGGUGCGCCCUAAACGAUGUCAACUGGCUAUUUGGAGCCUUCAAGGCCUUGGUAAAGUAAUAACGUGUCAGUUGACCGCCUGGGAAGUGCGGUCGCAAAGUGCAAAACUCAAAGGAAUUGACGGGGACCCGCACAAUAAAUUGGAUGAGUAUGGAUUAAUUCGAUGCAACGCGAAAAGCCUUACCUACCCUUGACGCGUAUGGAUCCGAAGAGAUUUGGGAGUGCUCGCAAGAACUGAGGAACACGAAUUGCUGCGUAACCUCGUCAGCUCGUGUCGUGAAUGUUGGGUUCAGUCCCACCAACAGGCGCAACCCUUGUCGUGGGUGCUACGAGGCACUCUAAUAGGACUGCCGGUGACAAACCCGGAGGAAGGUGGGGAUGACGUCAAGUCCUCAUGGCCCUUAUGGGUAGGACUUACAUUACGCCGCAAUGGUCGGGACAGAGGUCGCCAACCCGCGAGGAGCCCAAUCCCGGCUCCGAUGUAGUCCGGAUCGCAGUCUGCAACUCGACUGCGUGAAGUCAGAAUCGCUAGUAAUCGCGGAUCAGCAUGUCAUGAUCGAAUACGUUCCCGGGUCUUAUGCCCACCGCCCGUCACACCAUGGGAGUGGUUUUACCGAAGUAAGUUAGCCUAACCGUAAGGAGGGCGAUUACCACGGUAGGAUUCAUGACUGGGGUGAAGUGUAACAAAUUAA